UUUAUGAUAGAAAUAAAUAUGUAAAAAAUAUACGGUUAAACGCAAAUUGAAAUAUCUUUAAAAUUUAAGAGAAGAGUUUUUCGAAUUCCUGACAAUUGUUCAUAGUAAGAGUAUGUUUAAAUGUGUCACUAGAUAUCUUUCAGAGCGACCGGGUCGAUCGUUGUGCAGGGAUGUGGGUCAGGCAUACGCCCGAACCCCCUGGAUUUUCAUCUCGUCCCUUUCUCCGAUAAACAUAGAAUAUUCUCUGGAAUCCUCGGAACUUUUCAUAAAAAAAUUUUCUUUAUGACGGUCAUUAUCUAAACUCGUUUAUAUAUAUACUUAUCUUUGAAAUAGAAAAAUAAAUUUCGCCUGUCAUAAAAAUGCAAUUAGGUAACUUAAAAUUCUCGUUAAAAACUUCUUAAUUUUAUAAUUACUUCCUUACCUUAUCGCAAUCUUUUUCAUGUAUUUAAAAAGCGAAGAAUGUGUUCAAUGGAAAAUAUUGGUAUUCAUUAUUACUGUAUUUAAUAUUUUAUUGUAAUAACUCAUAAAUAAUACAAUCAUAUCGUAAUAUCACGAUCGUAACCAUAUUUUAAACAUUUUAGUCGACAACCUUAGCUGGGAUCUUGAAGCAUACUUGAGAAUUGUUAUUUUC